rnacentral:rRNA from 1 species
UACGGAGGAUGCGAGCGUUAUCCGGAUUUAUUGGGUUUAAAGGGUGCGUAGGCGGUUUUAUAAGUUAGAGGUGAAAUCCCGAGGCUCAACUUCGGAAUUGCCUCUGAUACUGUUCGGCUAGAGAGUAGUUGCGGUAGGCGGAAUGUAUGGUGUAGCGGUGAAAUGCUUAGAGAUCAUACAGAACACCGAUUGCGAAGGCAUCUGACGAAUCGGAGAUUGACGCUGAUGCACGAAAGCGUGGGUAUCGAACAGG